rnacentral:SRP_RNA from 1 species
CGGAAUGCAGCAGCGAUCGGGAAGAGACUGUGGGUUCGCUGG